rnacentral:rRNA from 1 species
CCUACGGGCGGCAGCAGUGGGGAAUAUUGCACAAUGGGCGCAAGCCUGAUGCAGCCAUGCCGCGUGUGUGAAGAAGGCCUUCGGGUUGUAAAGCACUUUCAGCGGGGAGGAAGGCGGUGAGGUUAAUAACCUCAUCGAUUGACGUUACCCGCAGAAGAAGCACCGGCUAACUCCGUGCCAGCAGCCGCGGUAAUACGGAGGGUGCAAGCGUUAAUCGGAAUUACUGGGCGUAAAGCGCACGCAGGCGGUCUGUCAAGUCGGAUGCGAAAUCCCCGGGCUCAACCUGGGAACUGCAUUCGAAACUGGCAGGCUAGAGUCUUGCAGAGGGGGGUAGAAUUCCAGGUGUAGCGGUGAAAUGCGUAGAGAUCUGGAGGAAUACCGGUGGCGAAGGCGGCCCCCUGGACAAAGACUGACGCUCAGGUGCGAAAGCGUGGGGAGCAAACAGGAUUAGAUACCCCAGUAGUC